GACGAACGCUGGCGGCGUGCCUAAUACAUGCAAGUAGAACGCUGAAGCGAGGAGCUUCCUCUUCUUGGAUGAGUUGCGAACGGGUGAGUAACGCGUAGGUAACCUGCCUUGUAGCGGGGGAUAACUAUUGGAAACGAUAGCUAAUACCGCAUAACAAUGGAUGACACAUGUCAUUUAUUUGAAAGGGGCAAUUGCUCCACUACAAGAUGGACCUGCGUUGUAUUAGCUAGUAGGUGAGGUAAUGGCUCACCUAGGCGACGAUACAUAGCCGACCUGAGAGGGUGAUCGGCCACAAUGGGAAUGGGACACGGCCCAGACUCCUACGGGAAGGAGCAGUAGGGAAACUUCGGCAAUGGGGGCAAACCUUAACGAGCAACGCCGCGUGAGUGAAAAAGGUUUUCGGAUCGUAAAGCUCUGUUGUAAGUCAAGAAAGAGGGUGAGAGUGGAAAGUUCACACUGUGACGGUAGCUUACCAGAAAGGGACGGCUAACUCCGUG
rnacentral:rRNA from 1 species